UCGUGUUUCAAAUACUUGCAAGUACAAACUUUGAUUUUACAUAGUUUGUUGUGAUGGCAUAAAGUAUACAAUCAUAACUUAGAAUUUAUUAUCGUACCUAAUGUAUAUUGAUGUAGCCCUACUAUCUAUUACAGAAAUAGUCUUUGUCGUUUUCAUUUAAUCAUGAAAAGAAGUUUUAUAUCUAAAUAACACUAAAUAUUUGGUAUCUGACAGGUGAAAGUUACAGUCCAACAGAACAUCGCCAAUACUGUGUCCGAUAUUUUACAAAUUUUACAAAUUUAUUGAUUUCAUAUUUGAAGCGACACCAAUGGAAAUUAAAAAAAAAGACCAGUAACUAGUGCCAACAAGUUGUUGCACUACAUUUCACUGGUAUUAAACAACGGACCAUAAUACAUUAAUAAGUGCAUGGAGUAAAAUGCAAAUAGAGUGGCUAUUAAGAUCUUACACACAUUGAAUAGUAUUCCAUGUUUUUAAUAUUUACAUGUUACUUGCUUCGUUGAAAACCCAUUGGUGACCUUCAGCUGAUGUCUAUUCUUUUGUCGGGUUGUUGUCUCUUUGAUAUAUUCCAUUCUCAAUUUUAACCUAUCUAUUUUGACUUUUAUAUUCAGCCCUUUUGACGAGGUUUGUUUUCUAAACUUUUGGGUUUUAACGUAAAAGAUGAAGUUCAUUCUGGGAAAAAGUUUGAUGUAUUUGAGAAGAAUGAUGUAUAUCAAAAAAGUUAUUAUGUCAAUAUGCAGCAACUUUGUUGACAUACUUGUCAAUGUGUGGUUGAUCUUCAUAGCCAAUCUUUUUCAAACUGUGUGGUAAUUUACACCAUUUAUUAAUCAGUUUUAUUAUAUUUCUUAAUUUUAGAUUUAUAACAGAUCUUUCAAAAAUGAA
rnacentral:lncRNA from 1 species